AUUGAACGCUGGCGGCGUGCCUAACACAUGCAAGUCGAGCGGUAACAGGUGUAGCAAUACAUGCUGACGAGCGGCGAACGGGUGAGUAAUGCUUCGGAAUCUACCCAAUGGUGGGGAAUAACCAGCCGAAAGGUUGGCUAAUACCGCAUACGUCCUACGGGAGAAAGCAGGGGAUCGUAAGACCUUGCGCCAAUGGAUGAGCCGAAGUCGGAUUAGCUAGNGGUAGGGUAACGGCCUACCAAGGCGACGAUCCGUAGCUGGUCUGAGAGGACGACCAGCCACACUGGGACUGAGACACGGCCCAGACUCCUACGGGAGGCAGCAGUGGGAAUAUUGGACAAUGGGGGAAACCCUGAUCCAGCGACGCCGCGUGUGUGAAGAAGGCCUGCGGG
rnacentral:rRNA from 1 species